CGCCGGGUAUUGCAAGCUGUAUAAACGACACAUAAUUUAUUAAUUCCUCAUGAUUUAUCUCUGCACCAUGCAGCCAGCAAACGAGGAAAGAAC